rnacentral:rRNA from 1 species
UACGUAGGGGGCAAGCGUUGUCCGGAAUCAUUGGGCGUAAAGAGCGUGUAGGCGGCCAGAAAAGUCCGCUGUGAAAACUCGAGGCUCAACUUCGAGCUGUCGGUGGAAACUUUCUGGCUAGAGUCCGGAAGAGGAGAAUGGAAUUCCUGGUGUAGCGGUGAAAUGCGCAGAUAUCAGGAAGAACACCAAUGGCGAAGGCAGCACUCUGGGACGUGACUGACGCUGAGACGCGAAAGCGUGGGGAGCAAACAGG